UUUGGGCCUUCCCCCUGGGUGGUAAUGGGCAAAAAAGUGCUUGGGAUUAGAAGCAGAACCUGCCUUCCCUUGGAUUCCUGAAUUCUGGGAGGCCACACCUAGAAGGAACCAGCUGUGCCCCAGACUCACAGUUUCCUUGCAACGUUCAGGGAAAAUGGAUAACAGAGAAAAUAUGGGGUCUUCCCAGAGGCUAGCCUGGGCACUACAUCAGUACUAGCUAAGGGAAUCAAGGAUUUGUGAGGAUUACACACCAGCUGCUUCCAUAUGCAAACAGAUUAAGUAACCAACCAACCACUGCAUUAGGAACUUCAAGAGAAAGAAAGAAAUAUAGAGAAUCAGUAGCACAACACAAUAGACAGGGCUGCAAGAGUUCAGCAGUGAGUACCAAAUAGGUCCUACAGUCUGUAACUUAUUGCUGCAGUUUCAGAGAAUGCAGAAAACUCUAAGGGAUGUGGGGAUCAGAGAAAGGAAAUACACUGGAAUUUGUAGUGUAGAACUGAGAUCAUUGGAAAGGGUUGUUAGUGCCAUGAGGAUUUUGCUUUUAUAUCAUUUUAGAAUGUGUCUAAAUGUUUCCAGUUUGCCAAAUAGGAAGAUGUAUAAGCCUUUGAUUUAAAAUGAAGAACCUUUAAGUAGAAAAAUGCAUAAAUCUGUGAUUAGGAGGAAUUGACAUGAGUUUUUCUGGAUGUGUUUCCAACUUUUAAUUGUCAAACUGGAGCAGAGGGGAGUCAUUCCUCUUUUCUUGGUGUUAUAUUUGAUAGCUCAAAGGAAGACACACAAAAACCUCAACAGAUUAGAGUCUAGAGAGUUCAUUAUUUCCCUGAAACAUAACUCCCGAGUAUUUUUCCCAUCACAUAGGAGGAAGACUUCCCAGCAGACCACACAGCAUGCUUCGCAGGGUGCUAGGAACCUGCUUAGUCAAGAGUGGGUACGACUACCGUUAACUCACAGCUCAGGGUGGCAGACCUUUUUCAUUCCUUAAGGUUCUGGUGUCUGGCGAGUACUACUGGAUGGAGGGAAGGGCGAGGAGGGAGGGAAAGUCACUGAUCCUGUCCUGCGAGGGUUGGAGAGUAAUAUGUCUAUGCAGCCUGUUCUUUGAAUAUUUGGCUAGGUCUAGAUUAGACUAGCAAAUGGACAAUCUGUGCAAAGGCCAGCAUAUGUAGAGGAGAGAGAACCUGGUCCUCAAACAGACUCAUUCAGUCAAUAAGACAGAAAUAAUUGCCUAGAAAAUAAAAUGAGACUUCACCUAUAUGACUAAAUCCCUUGUUUCUUGCCCUCCAAACUGUUUCCUAGGCCAACACGUGCCACUCAUCCCUCCUUGUCUCUUGCCACCUCCUCAGAAGCAAUCUAAACUGAGUUUGUUUAACCUUUCACAGCUCUUUCCAGGUGCUUAUCCUCCCAAACGCUGGGACUACAGGCAUGGACCACCACACCUAGUUGGAUAUUCUUGGCUAUACUUCCUUGUACAUGUGUGCAGAUGUUUUUGGCUUUUAUAGAUAAGCUAAAUUGUGCUCAAAUUGAUUGCACCAAUGUACACUCCCACUUGUGCGACAUGAAGAUAUCUGUUGUCCAACUUGUGGCUAAUACUUUUAAUCUGAUCAUUGAAAAUGACAUAUCAAUGUAGAACUAUUUAUAUUUCCUUGACAACUGGUGAAAAUUAACAUUUUACAAGUUUUUAUCAAAAAUGUUAAUUUUCUUUGUUGUUUUCAUGUUAAUUGCUCAUUUUCUAUUUAGGUGAUUUUUUUCCUCACUAUUAGUCCAAACACUCAUUUGGUUGUAUUUAAUUAAAUGAUAUUACUUUGUUUCCUAUUUACACACAUUCCUCAUUAAACAGCCACUAAAGUAUGAUCCUGCAA